rnacentral:misc_RNA from 1 species
AACUUUUAACAAUGGAUCACUUGGUUCUGGCAUCGAUGAAGAACGCAGCGAAAUGAGAUAAGUAAUGUGAAUUGCAGAAUUCAGUGAACCAUCGAAUCUUUGAACGCACAUUGCGCCCAGCAGUAAUCUGCUGGGCAUGCCUGUCCGAGCGUCAUUUCUGCCCUCGAGCACGGUAGCCUUUCGGGGCUGCCGCCGCCCGGUGUUGGGGCGCUACGGGGAGCCUCGCGCUAUCCCCCGUAGGCCCCGAAAUGAAGUGGCGGUCCCGCCGCGGCGCCCUCUGCGUAGUAGUCUUAACAGCUCGCAUUGGGCCCCGGUGGAGGCCAGCCGUCAAACCAAUCUUACAAGUUUGACCUCGGAUCAGGUAGGGUUACCCGCUGAACUUAAGCAUAUCAAUAAGCGGAGGCU